CAUCUAGCAUGUGCGCAAGUCAUUGGGUAUUUAUAAUAAACCUAAAGGCGUAAUGAAAGUAAAUAUAUAUAUAAUUUUUUAAAUUAUAUUUUAUAAAGGGAAGAUGGGUAACGUUAUUUAUGUUACCUCGCAUUCCCGGGGCGUCGCAUACUUAUUGCAAGUUGCGGCGCACCAAGAGCGUACACGCUGGGACCCGAAAGAUGGUGAACUAUGCCUGGUCAGGAUGAAGUCAGGGGAAACCCUGAUGGAGGUCCGUAGCGAUUCUGACGUGCAAAUCGAUCGUAUGAACUGGGUAUAGGGGCGAAAGACUAAUCGAACCAUC
rnacentral:rRNA from 2 species